GCCUGGGUGGCUCAGUCGGUUGAGCGUCUGACUUUGGCUCAGGUCAUGAUCUCGCGGAUCGUGAGUUCGAGCCCCACAUCGGGCU
rnacentral:tRNA from 1 species